GGGAAAGGGCAAGAGAUGUUACAAAGGGAAAAUGGACAAAAGAUGCUGCAAAGGGGAAACGGACAAGAGGCUUCAAAGGAAAGAACAAGAGGCCAAAAAUUAAUCAGAGAUGUUGCAGAUGGGCUAGAAAUGCUACAAAGGGAAAAUUGACAAAAGAUGCUGCAAAGGGGAAAUGUACAAGAGAUGCUGCAAGGAGGAAAUGGACAAGAGAUGCUGCAGAGGGGAAAUGUACAAGAGAUGCUGCAGAGGUGAAAUGGACAAAAGAUGCUGCAAAGAGGAAAUGGACAAGAGAUGCUGCAAAGGUAAAACAACUAGAGAUGCUGCAAAGGUAAAAUUGAUCAGAGAUGUUGCAAAGGGGAAAUGGGCAAGAAAUGCUACAAAGAGAAAAUGAACAAAAGAUGCUGCAAAGGGGAAAUAGAAAAGAGAUGCUGCAGAGAUGAAAAGGACAAGAGAUGCUGCAAAGGGGAAAUGGACAAGAGAUACUUCAGAAGUGAAAUGAACAAGAGAGGCUGCAAAAGUAAAAUUAAUCAGAGAUGUUGCAGAUGGGCUAGAAAUGCUACAAAGGGAAAAUGGACAAAAGAUGCUGUAAAGGGGAAAUGUACAAGAGAUGCUGCAGAGGUGAAAUGGACAAAAGAUGCUGCAAAGAGGAAAUGGACAAGAGAUGCUGCAGAGGUAAAACAACUAGAGAUGCUGCAAAGGUAAAAUUGAUCAGAGAUGUUGCAAAGGGGAAAUGGGCAAGAAAUGCUACAAAGAGAAAAUGGACAAAAGAUGCUGCAAAGGGGAAAUGGACAAGAAAUGCUGCAAAGGUAGAAUCAACCAGAGAUGCUGCAAAGGUAAAUUGAUCAGAGAUGUUGCAAAGGGGAAAUGGGGAAGAAAUGCUACAAAGAGAAAAUGAACAAAAGAUGCUGCAAAGGGGAAAUAGAAAAGAGAUGCUGCAGAGAUGAAAAGGACAAGAGAUGCUGCAAAGGGGAAAUAGAAAAGAGAUGUUACAAAGGGAAAAUGGACAAAAGAUGCUGCAAGGGGAAAUGGGCAAGAGAUGUUACAAAGGGAAAAUGGACAAAAGAUGCUGCAAAGGGGAAACGGACAAGAGAUGCUUCAGAAGUGAAACGAACAAGAGAGGCUGCAAAAGUAAAAUUAAUCAGAGAUGUUGCAGAUGGGCUAGAAAUGCUACAAAGGGAAAAUGGACAAGAGAUGCUGCAAAGGGGAAAUGGACAAGAGAUGCUGCAAAGAGGAAAUGGACAAGAGAUGCUGCAGAGGUGAAAUGGACAAAAGAUGCUGCAAAGAGGAAAUGGACAAGAGAUGCUGCAGAGGUAAAA
rnacentral:lncRNA from 1 species